CACCGACAGAACUGAGGUUAUGUUCAUCUCUCGUGCAAAUGGUCACGUACUUAGUACACCAGUAUAGUCCUCCUCAAAUUAUAAAGUACAUAUCUCAAAAAUUUAUGGGCAAAAAACGCCACUGCCAGCCAGCCAACAGACACCGGAUGAUCCAAAUUGCACUUGUCAAUAAUGCUCCCAAUAGCACAAACAAGAAAAAGGCAAAAAGAUCUGCAACUCACACAAUCAAGACCUCUUCUUCGAAAAAGAAACUUCAUCUCCCUGAGCAAAGAUUGGCUCGUCUACUUUGGGAGCUAUGAAAUAAAUGGAGAUGUUAUGAUUGUGACCACCCUUUUUGGACAUUUUACUUAUGUCGUCUGCCUGCGACAAGUAUCACCGGGUUACGUGAUAAGACUUUGUGUUUGCCAAUUCCGACUUAUCUGUACUGUGUUUUCAGAGAACCAUUGCUCCUGUCUGAACUGAAUUAUCCAAGACUUGCAUCUCUACAAUCACCCUUAUUUAUCCUCUAAA